GUAAAGUUAGUUAAAAACAGAGAGGCAAACUGACAGAUCCCAAAACAGAAACAGCCAAAGAGGCUGCCCACAGGAGAGCUAUGGAGACAAAGGAAAAAUAAUGGAAGCAUGCUCAGGAGGACAGGGAGGCUGUCCACAGGAGAGAAAUGGAGGCAAGGGA